rnacentral:pre_miRNA from 1 species
AUGCUACUCCCUCCGUUCGGAAUUACUUGUCGUAAAAGUGGAUGUAUCUAGAUGUAUUUUAGUUCUAGAUACAUCCAUUUCCAAGACAAGUAAUUCCGAAUGGAGGGAGUAGAUG